rnacentral:lncRNA from 1 species
ACUUUCUUGCUCUUGUCAACCAUCUGGCCUCCUCCACCAGACAGCAAGUGGUCUUCAGUUCGCGAUUCCGGAAGGAUCUUGGGGACAAUGUGAGAGAGAUGCUCCUUAUGGUGAGUUGUCUAUCCUUCUCGAGAGUAUUUUUGUUCUUUUGGCUUUUUUUAACUUUAUUUUUGUGGUAGGCUUUGAGUGUGUUCAUGAAAAU